CAGAUUUUAUUUCUAAAGACAAAUUGCUCAUCAUCCUUAUUCGGGAGGGCUCCACAAGCCUCAAGUCAUUGCCAUUUCUCUGCCAGAGAAAGAGACUAUUAUUCCCUUGGUGUCUGCAUGGUGGUGGUGUAGACGGAGUCCAGAGACCCUUGUGAUGUAUUCCGUGGAAGCUUUCCCAAAGAAGAGAAUGAUAAAGCCCUGGAGCAUAAUAAAGCAAAGCACAUAGAUUUCUGCUGGAACCAUGUGAUCUCUCUGCCUACAAACAGAAAAUGUGUUCCCCCCCAUCCCCUCACACACCACAAACCCACAACAAUAUACAAUCUUAAUUUCCUCA